UACAGAGGUCUCAAGCGUUGUUCGGAUUCAUUGGGCGUAAAGGGUGUGUAGGUGGCGCGCUAAGUCGGGUGUGAAAUUUCGGAGCUUAACUCCGAAACUGCAUUCGAUACUGGCGUGCUUGAGGACUGGAGAGGAGACUGGAAUUUACGGUGUAGCAGUGAAAUGCGCAGAUAUCAGGAGGAACACCGAUGGCGAAGGCAGGUCUCUGGGCCGAUACUGACGCUGAGGAGCGAAAGCGUGGGGGAGCGAACAGG
rnacentral:rRNA from 1 species